CACAAGAGGUUCACAUCCUCUUGCACUCUGAUUGUCUGGGCGCUCAAGGACAUAGCUGAAAGAGCCAGACUCAGCAAGAGCUUUUGUUUCUGUCUAACACAGGAUUAGAAAUACACACAUCAUUGCAGUUCUCAGAUUAGCUGUACUGUAUGUGUGUAUGGUGAUUGUGACAGCACUGAAAGCUUGUCAAGACUAAAACUUAAGCUGUGUAUUUAGGCAGUAUAUCUGUGCAUAAUGUGGAUUACACUGUAAAAAAGGAUUUGAGGAUUUAGCUACCUCAGCUCAUUUUCCUAACUCAGUUCAACUAAAAUGUUGUGCGUACUUGAGAUAUCUAGUUUAACUGUGCCCAACUGAUCAGUUCAACCAGAGUAGUUCAGGCAAAAAUGCAUAGGAAACCCCACUGAACCAACAGCUGUCCAUCUCAGUGCCAGCUCCAUGUGCAACAAGAAACUUUUUUCUUUGGAUCAAGAGUUCCCAAGAGCUGAAGGCUGUACUGAGUACUACGGAGCAUCCUGUCCUGUGAGUUGUAUGAAUUGGAUCUGCAAGUUCUGCAUAUUUUCUUCAGCCAACCAACUCAGCAUUAUAAGGCAUUACAAGCUAAAACAAGGACACUAUAAUAGGUCUUGCCCCUUACCUUGUAUCUACAAUGACUGUUUGUGCUCUUUUAAGACACAAGUUGCUCUUAAAAAUCAUUUGUUGAAACCCAUGAAUCUCAGUCCAAUGUUGUAACUCAUUGGCUACAGUGUGAAUUAUGUGAUGUUUCUGAGCCAUGUACUCUUAAGCAAUACUUUGCUCAUUUGGGAGCUCAUAUGAAGCAUAAGGAAACCGUUCACUGGCACAAAAGUAGAUAUCACUGUGAUUCUGGGUUAAACAAAAUAAGACCUGAACUAAUUUGUGAUCACAGUCCAGCAGAAACCAGUGAGGAACAAAUAGGAGAUGUGGUUUCUCUAUAUUAUGAUAACCAUCCAAAUGAUGACAAUGACAAUGAAGAUUAUGGAGAAUCAAUUAGGCAUAGUCUUGCAUCCUUAUUCCUAUGAAUGCAAACAAUUUAGCAUGUGUCCAAGUCAGCUACACAGGAAAUAGUUAAUGAACUGUAUGAGAUAGGUGUUUUAGCAGGAGAGUUUACUAAUACGUCAAUUGAAAAAGUGCUAAGGGAACAUAAUUGCAACACUGACAACACUGUUUUAACUGUGACAAGGGGAAACACUUCAGGAAACUAAUCCUCUUUGUUUACUUUCAAAGACAGGACCUUUUGUCACUGACCACAGAGAUCAUUGUUUUUCAGAAAUUAUUUUCCUGUAAUUAAGCCUGUAGAAUAUAUUUCAGACAAUACAACCAAGAAGACAUUGGUAUAUGUCCCCAUUCUAAGUGUUUUAACAGAGUUACUCAAUAUAAAUUAUAUUCUAGAAAAAUUAGUAACUGAAGAAUCUCUUAUGUCAGAGUCUGGUCAUUUUAAAACUUUUCGUGAUGGCUUAUUCUUUAAAGAAAAUACACUGCUCUCCAGAGAGGAGCUGUCGAUUGCUAUUGGACUGUACACAGAUGACUUUGAUAUAUGCAAUCCUUUAGGUACUUCUAGAAAAAAAAUAAGGUGUGUGCUGUGUAUUGGGUACUAGCCAAUUUGCCUAGCAAAUAUUGAUCAUCUAUACAAUCUAUAUACCUUGCAGUGCUGUGUAACAGUAAUGAUAUAAAAACAUCUGGCUAUGAGAAAAUUCUUGAUCCACUUAUAAAAGACAUACAGACCAAGGUCUGUUCAUCCAGAGGUUAGGAGCAAGCAUCAAAGGAACAGUGCUUUUUGUCUCUGCUGAUAACUAAGCUGCUCAUUCACUUGCUGGCUUUCAGGAAUCAUUCGCUGUUGAUACAUUUUGCAGAUUGUGCGUUGCCAGCCGUAGCGAUAUUCAGACAACUGAAGUAAGGGGUGGGUUAUUUCCGCUUAGGACAAAACUGACUCAUGAGGCAAAUGUUUUGGAGGUUAAACAAAAUCAACAUGUACAGAAUGUAAAUGGUGUUAAAAGGGAUUUUUUGAACAAGUUGAGUUACUUCCAUACAGUUACAGGGUUCCCACCUGACUUCCUGCAUGACCUCUUGGAGAGAAUUGUGCCUGUUGAACUUAGCUUGUGUCUAAACAAGUUGAUCUCAAAUAAGUACUUCUAGUUGGAUGAAUUAAAUUCUGAUAUUCAGAAUUUCCCAUACUUAUUCUCUGAUAAGACUAACCACCCCAACAGAAUACCCACUAGUUUCAGAAUCAAUGGAUCAAUUGGUGGAAACGGACAUGAGAACUGGACUUUUGUUAAGACUGCUUCAGUUGAUCAUUGGAGAACUAAUCCCAGAAAAUGACUAAAAAUGGGAUGUUCUUCUUGAAAUGAAAGACUUAGUAGAACUCUUGGCAUCACCCUCUUUCACAAAUCAAUCACUAUGCUAUUUGGAAGAUAAAAUCUCAGUCCAUAGGCAAUUGCCCCAUGAGGCCUUUCCUGAGCCAAAGACCAUUUCAUAGAACACUAUCCCUACCUCAUCAGUUGCUUUGGACCUUUGCUAGACUGUUGGACAAUUCGCUUUGAAGCACAGCACAGCUUUUAUUUAUUUUAUUUUUUUUUUAUUUAUUUUUUUUUUAAGUUGUGUGUGAUGUGAACAAUUUUAAAAAACAUUUUGCUAACAUUAGCCACAAGACACCAGCAUAUGUUAGCAUACUUCCUUGACAUGCCCAGCCUUUUUAAGCCACCAGUGGAGGUUGUGUAUCUCUGGUUUCUCUGGACAUUUAGGAUCACUCAUUCAAACAGGCUAUUAGACUUAAAUACAAGGAUGUGAAAACUGUGUCUCUUGCAACUAGUGUCAUUCUACAUGGCACUAAAUACUUUGAGGGGAUGUUUGUUUUUAUUGGGAGCACAAGUGGACUGUCAGAUUUUGGUAAAAUUCUCAAAGUACUGAUUGUGGGCAACAAGGCAUCAUUCAUCAUUGAAUGCUUUUCAGCCUGGUACUUGGAGCACUUCAGGUGCUAUGAAUUGACUAGGAAACUUUCCACAGACCUUGAAGUUGCAGACUCAGAAGAACUGAACACCUUCUGUCCACUGGCCCCUUACAUGGUGCGAGGAAGACUACUGAUCUCACCCAAGGUGUUUUUACUUCACUGAGGUAACACUUUUAUUAUUAAACAUUUUGCAUGAUAUGGUAAAUCAAUAAUUUUCAACCUUUUUCUUGCCAGAGAAUAUCUCAGUUCAAAUUCAGCUGUUUAAGUGAUACUUUGCAUUUCAAAUUGAAAGGAUAACUGAAGUUUAUUACACACUGGGCCUUAUUUUUGGAGUUUUGGCCACUGUUCUGUGUUAUGUCAUCUGACAGAGAUGUUGCCAUGUUCCCAGAACUCAAUUAACUUGGUGACUACAAUUUUAUCUUACUGAAAUAAAUGGUGGCCAGAACUAGGGCCCAAACCAGAACUGGCCUUAAAUUAAAUCCCUGAAUUAGACUAGUUAAAACAGAAUUGAACCCAACCCAUUUUUGUUCUAAUAGUACUCCGUUAACCCUCUGGGGUCUGAGGGUGUUUUGGGCCCUGGAGAAGUUUUGAUAUGCCUUGACUUUGUGCUUUUUUCAGUUUCUUAAAAACAUAUUAAUGGCUAAAGUCUGAUAACACUGUAUUCAGCACAAACGGGGCUACAAUAAUAUGUGAGCAACAUAUAUGUACAUAUUUGUAUUUUUGAGAAAAUAACGUUUAUGCAUGGUUUUUGAAAAAACAAACAUUUUAUGUCACUGAAAUAAGGCCAUAUAACACAUACUAAACAUUUAUUCACAAGACUUUUGAGGACUGGAUCUUGUAGCCUAGAGUUUUUGCUAUAAAAUUAUGUGAAACCCAUCCUGAUCACUCAUUCAUACAAAACAAUAUAGUCAUUUAACUUUUGUAAGACACUUUUAGUGUUAGAAAGGCCAUAUGCGAGGAGGCGUGGAUGAUCAUGAAUAUUGAUGUAAUUCACACCUGAGGAGACAAAGACCCCUCCCCUGAGAGAGAAUGAAUGUGAAGAGACUUAAUGAUUGAAUGUAUUAUCUGACUAUACAUUUUCUUUACAAAAAGACUUUACUCUAGACCUACACUACCAUUUAAAAGUUUUAGAUCAGUAAGAUUUUUUUUAAUGUUUUUAAAAGAAGUCUCUUCUGCUCAACAAGACUGCAUUUAUUUGAUCCAAAAUACAGCAAAAACAGUGAUAUUGUGAAAUAUUUUUACAAUUUAAAAUAACUGUUUUCUAUUUGAAUAUAUUGUAAAAUGCACUUUAUUCCUGUGAUCAAAGCUGAAUUUUCAGCAUCAUUACUGCAGUCUUCAGUGUCACAUGAUCCUUCAGAAAUCAUUCUAAUAUGCUGAUUUUCUAAUAUGGGCAUAUUUACAGCACAUUUUACACAUUUACACCUGAACAGAUAUUUGCAAGCACAAGCUUUGUUGAUGAUAAUGAGGCAGCAUAAACACUAGUUAAAAUAUAAUCUAAACAUUCAUAUUAUUUAUAUAUCAUAUUACAUAUAAUAUUUAUAUCAUACAGCAUACAAUUUAAAAACCUGUUUUAGCCAAAACAACAUUUAAAUGUAACUAAAACUUGCCUAUUAGGACAUAUUUCAAAUGUCAAUACUCUGAAUACCAGCUGGCAAGUCUGGAAAUAGUCCAACUAGUAAAAUAUGUACAUGUUUAUAUAACAUAGCAUGUCAACUAAUGUAAGUAAAACUAAAUGACUUACUCAUCCGGAAUUGUAUCCUCAGCUGGAUCAAAUCGCUCUUCAAAAUGUAAACAUUCAUUGUCGGAGUCCCUCUCUUCUUCUGAGGAAAAUGUGAACUCUUCAUCACUAUCCAGGACCAUCUGUAGAGCUUCCUCACCUGUGUAGCGUGCCAUCUUCCAAACGCGCAGGAAAGUGAAUGAAUCUGAUGAUGAACUUGAUGUUUUUUAAGGCAUUGUCGGGGACGUUUACCAUUUGCACCGUAUGAAUAGCGUGCUCUGCUGGUGGGUGUGAUCUCAUUAGAGAUUAUGAGCUGAGCCCAUAGAAACUGUACAUCGCUUUGUUUCAUACAGAUUACAUUGCAGGAGAAUAUUUGUUUUAAAUUUGAAGUGUUUUAUUUAAAAGCAGACAUUUUAAGCAUUCUUUAGACAUAUGUUUCAUGUUUGUGUGAUAAAUAUUCGCGGAGUUUCAGUUCAUUUUUUGACAGGUUUCAGAAAGAUGCUCACGGAGACAGAGACGGCUGAAAGCGCACCCUGUUUAUUUUCUUUAUUUUACAAAAGCACAAGGUUUUGUUGUUAUUGUGAGUGUACACAAAUAAAAGUAGACCCUUUAUGGUUUCUAAUGAUGUCUUACACUUAUCUGUAUGCUCAAAAAUGACGGAGUAUUGACGGAGCUGUUAUUCGGAAAAAAUCCAGCAGGACGCGCUGGCGCGUCCGUCGACCCCAGACCGUUAAGGUUCCAGCAUGUUGCUUCACGUCAUUCUUGCAGAUGAUGACAUCCGGAGGGUCCAGAUUGAAAGUUUUCUAGAGACAGUGGACGAAUUGAAGACUACACUCAAGAGCAAGCUUAUUCUAGAGGGUGAUAUUGUUAUCCAGUUUCAAGAUCCAGAUUUCAACAAUGAGCUCUGCAACUUGACUGACAUGUCUGAGCUACCCACAGAGAGACCAAGGCUGAAGGUAAUACUAAAGGCACCACCCAAUGCGCCCCCCUUUGUAUCCUCACUGGACAAUGGUUGUUCUGACACAGCCAGUAGGUCCUCAGCAUUCUCUGUAUGUUCUCUAUCAACCCAUCGUUCCAAGCACUGGCCUGACCAUUUUAUCAUACCCACUUUCUCUUAUGAUGUUGAACUUAAGCUCAGAAAAGGAAAUGAGACUUAUGAAGAAGAUGGUUCUCUAUUUACUGUUAUUGCUGCUACGAAGAGAGACAUACUUGACAGAGUAGGAAGUGCUAUGUAUGAGUACAAUGCAUAUCCAACAUCAAAAAAAAUUGAGGAUGUUGCCAAAGCCCUUGUUGAAAAGCAUCCCUGUUUGAGAGAGCCAGGUUCUUCACAUGGAUGGUACUGCUGGAAGUUCAGCCUCACUUUUAAGAUGGGUAACCUUCAUCAGAAGUACCGUAUUGCUGGAUGCCCAGAGCUUACAGUCAAUCAAAAGAGGUCAACAGACCAAUCAACUGGGAACAAGAAACUAAAGAAAGCAAAACGGUCUGAGAUCAACUUUUUGCCAGAUUUUCCUGAAAAGAAAUCUCCAGACUGCCUUGAAAGUGAGUGAAUGUCUCUGAUGGAUGAGAUGAAGAAAAGGAAGAGAGACAGGAAAAUGAUACAUGCUCUGAUGGAGAGCACCUUUGCCUUGUGAAGGAAGGAGAUUGUUGAUGGUGAACCUUCUGUGUCUGAAAUUGAAGACAGAUGGCCAGCACUGUUCUCAGAAAACCAGAUUAGUGCGGAGUUUAUGCACCUGGUUUCUACUGAUAUACACUGGUCUUUCUUUGACGGACUCGACAAGUAUGUUCCAAGACUGCUACAAAUGUACAGAGUGCGAACUAUUAGCAGUUCUGACCUGUGCAGUCUACUUCAGCCCCUUGAUGUACAAGUACUUUAUUAACAUCAACUGUUCUCAAUCAACUUGUGUUUGCUGGAUUGGCUGGUGACAGGAAAGAGGGGAGAUAAAGCCGGUGCUGCUCACGCUGAAGGAGAGAGAGACUUCCUUUCAUCAGGAUGCGUCCUGUCUCCUGUUCCCAGAUGUGCUCGUGUGCUGAAAUGUGUGUUCUGUUUAUGAUACCUAUGUUAGUCUGCUGUAUAGUGUGUUACAGUCAGAGAGACAACCUAAGUAGUGGUGUGGUGUUAAAGUUAUUGUUCUUUAGCUUUAUUUUGUAAAUACAUUAUUUGGUAGUGGAACCAUUGGGGGAGGGUGCCAUUUCUUUUAUAUUCCUUGUUAUUUAUUGUUUAUGUUUAGUCAGGGAGUUAGGUAAGUCCUUUUUUUUCUUUUCUUUUCUUCUUUUGUUUUUCUAGGUUAUUUACUUAAUCCCUGCGGUAGUUAAAAUCACUUUGUUGUGUUGGCCUUGCUCUCCCCUGAAGUUAAUGUCCCUAUAAUUUUGGUAAAU